AAGAGACACUGUUAAGGAAAAUGGAAAGAAGCAAAUGAUACAAUGAAACAAGGUCAGACAAGGAUGAACAAAGGCAUUUGCAUGCUGAAAGCAGAGAGGAUAAAACUUAGAGUAUAUAAGAUGAAAUGUGCUGAUGCUGUGUGCUGUAACCAUUUGUUAUUAAUCACUGUGUGUGGAAUGAGUUCCUCACUUCCAUUGCUGACAGUUUUAGAUUUCCUGAUUUAUAUUAAGAUGAAUUUUAAAUGGGAAUAGUUUUCAUAAUUAUUUGAAUACUUUUGAUUUCCUAAUUUGUUUUGGGUCUAGAUAGAAAUAGAAUUGUUGAUCUUUUGUCUAAACGUUUAUUCAGACUUCAAUGCAUGAAUUCUUAGAAAGCGUCCUUGUCUGCUAAAUCCUUGUCACCUUCUUAUUUUCCAUCUAUCAGACAGUUGCUUCUCCCACCAGCCAGGAUUAUCAGUAAUUAUCUGUUUCAAGCCGUGUGUGUCUCAUAACAUUUUAUCAUAGGAGUUGUGAGAUGGAAAAGGGGCGUAGUUAGAGUUCGUAUAACUUCCAGAGUCAUUUUCAGUAUUUGAUUGUUAGCCACUGGUAGUUUCUAUGCAUGCUUGCUGUACUGGUCUGAUAUUGAACCUUUAAUUCUCACGUUAUCUGAUCCAUUGACUAAAACUGGUCAGCGAGCAGGUGUUCUUAGAACUGUUAACUUAGUCUGUGUGUUGAUGACUGACUCCUCAGAACACUCCUUAUAUCUGCUAGCCCUCUUCUCCUCAUAAAAUGCAAUACAUACGUCUGACUCCACCAGUGCUGUCUUGGGGUGGCUGGACACACUUGAUGUCUUUCACCCAUGGAGCUCUGACUGCCAGAGCAGAGCUGGGCCUUGAAGGAGGUGUGAUGUGUUUCUCACCUGCUUUGCUGGCUAUAGCUCCAGCUUAUAGCAGCAGUGCUGGCAGAGAUAAAGGGUAUUCAUUACAGAAAGAUUUUGCUACAGCAGUAAUGUAGAAGUUGUGGGAAGGAGUUAUUUGUGUUCCUCGGUUUUGCUGUGGGAAUGAGGAAGACACAGCCAGUGCUGACCUUAGCACUUUUAUUUUGUAGGAGUUUAACAUCUGGUCCCUAAUCCCACAUUCUCUCAUGCUGAGAAGAGGUGAAAAUACAGCAUAAAAGUUUAAUGCCGUGGCCACUGUCCAGAGAUCUGCUACGUUGCUUUAAACCAGGAAACCUCCUGAUAGGGCCCAUUUCACACAUCCUUGAGCAACCUAAGAUGCUUUAAUAAAGAAAUGUUUUAUCUAGUAGUGUGCCAGAGAAGUAACCUCAACCUUUGUAUGCAGUGGCACAGAAGUACUAGUUAGAAAUCAAAUGCAGGUGGAGAAGGACCACCUGAAGAAAUUGAGGAGACCUGCUGUUUAACCCUUUUGCAUCGUGAACAGGUAACAGUCUUUUGGGAAAAUGGGACAAAACCAGAAGUCUUCCCUUCCCCCAUCUUUUAUUUGUGUCCAUGUGUGUCUGUGUCCUGCUGGGUGCAGGGGCCUGGCCCAGCUGCACUCAUUUCAGGGCUGCCCUACACCAUUGGCCUGAUGGGUGGCAGCUGGCUGAGUGCCCAGCCCAGCAGGGGAGGGGGAGGUAGUCCUCCUCAGGGAGGUCUCUGGAGAUGGAAAGUGUUGGGUGGUGCUUCUCUUGACUGGAGUGAAAUUGGUUUUUAGGGUGAUGAGGAUUUGGCCCCUAUAAGAAGAAAGGGUUGGGGGUAUUUGUUGCAGCCUCUGGACUGCUGGAAAUUGGUGGGACGGUGACUAAGAGUCACCCUGAGGUCUGGAUGCAGUGGGCUGCUGUGUCCUACCAAAGGGAUGGAGGUGGCAAGGCUGCUGUGCCCAGGUGUAUUGUAGAAGGCGUGGUAAACUUUCAAAGUGCGUUGUCUGGGACACAGCUGUUUCUUGAGUACAGGGGAAACAAGAAAUAAGAAGCAAGAUGAAUGCAUGGAACCCUGCACUUACCAGGAGAAGCAACUGCAUGAGGAGAAGCUCAUGUGGCGCCUUGCCAAGAUAGAGGGAUGCGCUGCAGCUGAACUAACUGUCCUACAGUGAGCAACGGACGUUCCUCACUGUGCCUGAAGGGGCUGCCCAGGGAGACUCAGCGGAGGAGAAGCAAAGCACUGUGUGAUCUUCUGGUGCCAGCUGCCUAAUCAGCAUCUUCGACUCAAUCCUGUCUGAGGCUGAGAUCCCCUUGGCAAGCAAAAGAUGAAUUUCCUCUGAAAAGCUUUUUUUUUUUUUUUUUGAGCUUCCAGAAAACUCUCAAUGUGCUCAUUUAGAAACUCAGAUGCAAUAUCUGUUUCUAGUACAAAAGAGAUGAUCAAAUGUAUUAGUGGGCUGUAAUUGACAAUAAUAAUAAAAUCUAAUUUAAAGAAUCUCAAGAUUAGCAAAACUUCCCAAGAAAAGCUGUGAUAUCUAAGAUCAGUUUUUCACAGACACUGCCCCAAAUGUGCAAUUUCUAAGCAGGAUGUUUAUGACGUUAGUAUUCUAGAGUAAUUAGUGUUUAAGAGGAUAGAUACUAUUGCCUUGAUAGGUUUCCUUUACUCUUAAAACAGUGUAACUCGAUUCUGGUAAUAUGUAGAUCUUUACAUCAAGUGUUUUCCUAUGAAUAAUGAAGUUGGAAUCUUGUGUAAUCACUUCUGUUCUUAGAGAAGCACUGAUUUAUGGAUUCUUUGCCUUGGAAAUUUCUAGUGUGAGCAGUUUCCAGAAAGGAUUAGCAUUUCUUUCAAGCUGAUUUGUUAGUAGGGUUCAAGGUAGCCACAUGAUGUGCUCUACAUCCUCCCAGCAUUAUAAAUAACCAAGAUCACUGGGAGUGUUAUGGAAGAAAAAAAAUAGUUAUGGAACACAACUGUGGAAUAAAGCUGUUUCUGGCUGACGGAGAGGUGCUGACCAUCUAUGGCAGCCUAAUGAACAGUGCAAAACCAAAUUUCUGUGAAUUCAAAUAGUCUUGAACGCAUCUUGAGCAACAGACACAGGAACACAUAAUCUUCUAAGAAUCAACAGCCAUCUGCUCAGUUCAGGCUCUUUAUUUCUGUGGCAUGCUGCCCUGAUUGAAAGUGUUCCAUGAUGGAGUUGAUGAGUUGCAAAGUUGAGUAUGUAGAUCAACUUGAGGAGAGGGAAGCCCAGCUUAGUGCCAUGCCAGUACUCUUCAGACAACCCUGUCUGCAUAAUGUACCUCAUCACUAUGAGGGACAUCUCCUGUGUUUCUGGAUGCUGAACCAACAACACAGUUGUCUGUCCACCUCUCCUAGUCUUCAGUGAUUAUAACUCUCAUUAUAAUCACUCACUGGUAUCAGUGAAAGAGAGAGUGUAAUAAACUUGUAUAAUUUGUUUUCUACUUGUCAUCAAGCUUUCACAAUUGUAAAUAACAUGAACUAAACUAUAUCAGUCAUCUACUUAAUGUGCACUAAAUCAAAUCUAGCAUAUGUUCCAGAACUGGGCUCCAGAUCAAAUCCAAAUGCAUUAUAUAGAUCUGUGGUGUUCAGUACUUGUAUUAUAAUAAAUUCUGAUUUUUCUGUAUCUGGUACUAAGGCUAAAAGUUCUUAUUUUUAGUCCCUAGCUUUAUUUUUUCAAUUCUACUUAUCUGCUUUGAAACUUGAUUCUGCAGCUCUUUGUGUAAUACUUUUUUGAGCAAAGUAGUUUGAACUUCAGCAAACUUUUCCCUUCAUUUGUAAAGCCUAAAGACACAGGCUUCUUAUACAGUGUUGAGGUUUUCCAAUAUAAAAACCUGUAUGCGCUUUGCAACUACCUUUUACUGGACUCGUAUUCAUAUGAUGUAUAUUUGUGGGUGAAGAGCAAUGUGAAUAAUUACUCUUUAAGUAAUAAGUGUAAUUUCCAAAGCAUUUGAAAAUACCAAGCUAUCUCAAUGAGGCAACAUCAGUCUUUCUGAGAACUUAACUGCUGAGGCUUCCUUCACUAGAAAGGUUAUUGUGAAUGACAGCAUCUGAAUAAACCUGUGCUAAUGUACUGAAUAUGAAAAUACUUCAGGCGAAGAAUUAAUUGAGGAUACUGGACUUGCAAUGAAUGCACUAGAUACCUUAUCAACUAUAGUGUUAGUAUCUGAUUUCUUUCUAAUAGGCUCAUGAGAGGGUUAAUGUUUGUUUGAAAUAAAUAAUUCUAUUCUUUUGAAACACUGUUAAAUCUGAAGGGUACACAAGAAGUGCUGGGUUGAACUCAUCUCUUGAGAAGGCCUAGGUAUUCUUAGCUAUUGAAAUAAUUUUGUCACUUAUAUUGGAAAAAGAGAAAUAUAUACAUACACAUACAUAGGAGUUAAACUAGGCUUGUAAAACUGGAUUUUACUCACAAAGCUAUUGAGUAAUAACUGCAUAGCUGACUUGAUUUCUUGCAAGUGCCCGUUACAGUAAUUCAUCUAGCAGGAGUGACAUGAUGUGUAUGGAUUUGUUUACCAUAUAGCUUAUUAAAUGCAAUUUAAUCUACAUGUACCUGGUUAGCUGAUGUCAUAGGGAUAUAAUUCCAAAUAUGGGUUUUGAAGCCAGCACAUACAGGCCUUUUGGCCUUGGACAAUUCUAAAUUGAAGAGGUAAAACAAUUUGGUUUUCAGAAUGGAAAUGCAGAUUGAGUAUGGUGUUAGAGUACAAUUGGCACAGACUGCCUUAGCAGUACCUCUCUAUCAUCUAGAGGGACGAUGCUCACUGCUUUCCUACAGCAAAUAACUUACUUGCAGUCUCCUGUGGAAUAAUCCUUCAGCUCUUGCACGAUGGACAUUAUGGAAAGUUCAUUCUCAUUGUUCAGAGCUGAGUGUAGGCUGGGAAUCAAGGCUUACACUUUGGAUUCUGUGUCUGGAAGCAAAAAGGACUUGUGUUGGACUUUGUGACUUGGCACUUUUGGAUGAUGCUUUGAUGUCUAAUGACUUUUUCCACUAUAUUGUUGCUGACAUCUAUGAAAAACUUAUCCAUGCCUAAUAGAAAAGAUAAGAUUCAGAAUAAGUAAUAGAAACAGAAGACUAACAGUAAUGCCAGCAAUCAGGUAAGAACAGUUCCAUCUGAGAGCGUAUUUGGAGUUGAUUUAGGGUUGAUUUAGUAAGUAGAGAUCAUUCUAGAUCUAACUCAAAGCAAGACAGUUAAUAGCCAUUGAAGGCAUAUUCACUCUGAAGGAAAGGUUCUCUCCAUUCUCUAAGGGGGAGAAAAUACAUUUGAAUUCCAGAUGGUGAUUAUGCAAAUGAUCUUUUAAUUGGUAAGCAAGAUUACUUCUCUUUGCCCAUAUUUAUAUUCAGAGUUUGGAUUUUUGCUUUUGCAAGCAGGCUGAUACUCAACAGUGGGCAUAUGUGCUUUUUUUUUCCCAUUAGUAGUAGAUCAGUAAUUUUAGCUGAAAUUUUGAGUUCUGAGAUUAGUUUCCAGUACAUAAUUUCAGUGGAUCUAAUUGGAGUUGGAAACUGUCUCUGACCAAUUUUCUUAUAGCUUAACUAGAUCCCUGGAAUGAUCCCCAUUAUUGAUGUCUAUCCUAUUUGCGAGCUGUCUGCGAUCUGCCCUCUUGCAGCCGUGAAUCAAUGCUUUAGUUACUUCCACUGGAGUUCUUAGAAGGAUAUCGUGGGCCUUCAAGAUCUUCACUGCUUGGUAUUAGGGGAUUAGUCUGUAGGAAGAGUGGCUGACUUGUAAGAGAACUUGAUAGACACAGGGAGGGAGGAAGAAGUACAUUUUACUUUUUGACUACUGGCUUAUUGGAAGAAGCUUGACAUAUAUUAGAGAAAAAGAGUGAAGCAAAUAAAUGACUGUAACACAGAGACCAGAAAUGGUGUUUCUCAGGAACUCAGAGAUGUUCUGGGUUAUGCUGAAAUAUAUAAAGUAGGGGAGGAAUAGAACUGCACUACAGCACGCUUGGUCAUCUUCGAAGCUGCAGUUCAUGUCCUCUGUAGUAACCCUACAUUUCACACAGCUCCAGCAUCUCUUCCUUUUCCCUGCUUGUGCCUGUCUGCAUUGUAUGUGAAGAUGUGAAACUUCUCUGUAGUGGGAAGGAAGGGCUGAGCAAGGCAGAUAGGGCUCGCUGGAUGGGGAGGUGCCUUGCUACCCCCUGAAAGUGUUAGGGCUAAGCUGUAUAUCAACUCCUGCUUCUCUUGAAAGCCAGAUCAGGUAUGCAAACUGGACAGAUGCUUUGCUUAUUCCCAAGGAUACUGAACAGAACUGCAGUCUGUAGAGAGCCAAGCUAUGGGGGGAGUAGAAAAUGUAGGUCAAUUCCUUUCUUAGUAGAAAUUUUUUCUAGCAAUCAGUCUAAAGUAGGUUUUGAAGAGGUACUGUCUUGACUUCCAGUAUCUCAAAUUACUACUUAAAACUGGGACAGGACU